AUUUAUAUAGUAUAAUGCAAUUACAUUUAAUUUCCAAUUAAAAUAUUUAAUUUAAUCUUUAAUAUAAAUA
rnacentral:tRNA from 1 species